GUACACGCUGUGACUAGCAUAUCAAUAAGCGGAGGAAAAGAAACUAACAAGGAUUCCCCUAGUAACGGCGAGUGAAGCGGGAAGAGCUCAAAUUUGAAAUCUUAAAGGGUUUCCCUUUACGAAUUGUAGUUUAAAGAAGUGUUUUCUGUUGAGGUUUUGGUAAAAGUUCUUUGGAAUAGGACAUCAUAGAGGGUGAGAAUCCCGUAUUUGACCCUUACUUUCAACUUUGUGAUACACUUUCAAAGAGUCGGAUUGUUUGGGAAUGCAGUCCAAAAUGGGUGGUAAAUUUCAUCUAAAGCUAAAUAUUGGCGAGAGACCGAUAGCGAACAAGUACCGUGAGGGAAAGAUGAAAAGAACUUUGAAAAGAGAGUUAAACAGUACGUGAAAUUGUCAAAAGGGAAGCGUUUGACACCAGUGUUGUUUUUCUGAAAAUCAAUUAAAGAACUGUUUAUGCUAAGUUGUUUAGACUUUAUCAGCUAACUGUUUAGUUUUGAGCUUUUCUUUAAUGCACUUUUCAGUUAACAAGUCAACAUCAAUUUCUUUUGCUGUAAAAAAGCUUGAGGAAGGUGGCUUGAGAUUCGUCUUAAGCGUUUAUAGCCUCUUGCCUAUGCAGUCGGAGAGAUUGAGGUCUGCAGCGUAGAUCCUUCGGGGCUAAAUGCAUUUGUGCUAAGUUAUAGCAUUUUAUAGACAACUUGCUGACUAUGAUUUGUCUUGUAGCUCACUCGCUUAUGUUAUUUUACCUACGCUUAGGAUGUUGACAGCAGUAUAGACUGU
rnacentral:rRNA from 1 species